rnacentral:rRNA from 1 species
UACGUAGGGUGCGAGCGUUAAUCGGAAUUACUGGGCGUAAAGUGUGCGCAGGCGGCCGAGCAAGUCGAGUGUGAAAGCCCCGAGCUUAACUUGGGAAUUGCGCUCGAAACUACUUGGCUGGAGUGUGGCAGAGGAAGGUGGAAUUCCUGGUGUAGCGGUGAAAUGCGCAGAUAUCAGGAGGAACACCGGUGGCGAAGGCGGUUCUCUGGGCAUGACCUGACGCUGAGGAGCGAAAGUGUGGGGAGCGAACAGG